rnacentral:rRNA from 1 species
GUAGUCUCGCACAGAUGCAUAUCAAUAAGCGGAGGAAAAGAAACUAACAAGGAUUCCCCUAGUAACGGCGAGUGAAGCGGGAAGAGCUCAAAUUUGAAAUCUUAAAGGGUUUCCCUUUACGAAUUGUAGUUUAAAGAAGUGUUUUCUGUUGAGGUUUUGGUAAAAGUUCUUUGGAAUAGGACAUCAUAGAGGGUGAGAAUCCCGUAUUUGACCUUUACUUUCAACUUUGUGAUACACUUUCAAAGAGUCGGAUUGUUUGGGAAUGCAGUCCAAAAUGGGUGGUAAAUUUCAUCUAAAGCUAAAUAUUGGCGAGAGACCGAUAACGAACAAGUACCGUGAGGGAAAGAUGAAAAGAACUUUGAAAAGAGAGUUAAACAGUACGUGAAAUUGUCAAAAGGGAAGCGUUUGACACCAGUGUUGUUUUUCUGAAAAUCAAUUAAAGAACUGUUUAUGCUAAGCUGUUUAGACUUUAUCAGCUAACUGUUUAGUUUUGAGCUUUUCUUUAAUGCACUUUUCAGUUAACAAGUCAACAUCAAUUUCUUUUGCUGUAAAAAAGCUUGAGGAAGGUGGCUUGAGAUUCGUCUUAAGUGUUUAUAGCCUCUUGCCUAUGCAGUCGGAGAGAUUGAGGUCUGCAGCGUAGAUCCUUCGGGGCUAAAUGCAUUUGUGCUAAGUUAUAGCAUUUUAUAGACAACUUGUUGACUAUGAUUUGUCUUGUAGCUUACUCGCUUAUGUUAUUUUACCUACGCUUAGGAUGUUGAAGACUCUACAGAGAUA